CGGGUGUCGCUGCGAACAUAUCUGCCAACUUCACGAAGUAUGAGACGGAGCAGCUCUUAAAGGUGCUGGGGGCGUUCCUGGAAUUCGGGUUCUAUGACCUGGCAGCAUAUGACGACAUCGCGGACUCCAUCACGUACUGCAACCACUACCUGGCACCCAUUAAGGCUUCGCCUGUAGAGCUGGCCAACGCGUUCGCUGCAUAUCAGAAGUUCGAGCACGAGCGCGGUGAUCUUUUCCUUGCUCUGGCAAGGUAUGGGGAUGUCAUGUCGAAAGAUGAGAACCAGUGGUAAAUGCACUCAGGCGCUGGGGUCUGUUUGGUACUUCGUAUGCUGUUAACGAAUACUAGAGAGGAGCUGGCCAUCAUAUAGGCAGUCAACCAGUUCACAAAGUAUAGUCGUGGCAAGCAUUUCUGCAGCCUAUGAUGCUGCUAUGUGCAGUUUCCGUCUUGGGGGUGUCUCUUUUGCCUGUCAAUGCGUGGCGGCUCCGUGGGUCAGAUCUGAGGCGGUAGACCAAAGGAAUUUUGGUUCCGCCAGCCGCGCCCCUGUGGUAUGGACGGCAUGACCGUCUUGCGCGUUUACCUUUCAGUGAUAAACCUUGCCACGUUUCCGUAGGAUGAAACCUAAUCGUACACGCCAGUCAGUAUGGACAUGGCUACUAGCAACUGGGGACGCCACCAGGAUUGGAUGCUGUCGGUUAUCCUAGAGCACCGGUAACUGUCGACCCGCCUUGUUGGUCACUGGGCUGUGAGGACACGGCAAGGGAAAGGGAGACGUAAGCGCUGCGGAUCAUUCAUCCGUUCAUGCUUUGGUUAUUUGAUCCGUG
rnacentral:lncRNA from 1 species